rnacentral:rRNA from 1 species
AACGUAGGUGGCGAGCGUUAUCCGGAAUUACUGGGCGUAAAGCGCGUUCAGGCGGUUUGGCAAGUCGGGCAUGAAAUCUCUCGGCUCAACCGGGAGAUGUUGUCCGAUACUGCUGGACUUGAGGGCAGUAGAGGGUGGUGGAAUUCCGGGUGUAGUGGUGAAAUGCGUAGAUAUCUGGAGGAACACCGGUGGCGAAGGCGGCAUCCUGGACCAACACUGACGCUGAUGAGCGAAAGCCAGGGGAGCAAACGGG